rnacentral:rRNA from 1 species
UGGGGAAUUUUGGACAAUGGGCGAAAGCCUGAUCCAGCAAUGCCGCGUGUGUGAAGAAGGCCUUCGGGUUGUAAAGCACUUUUGUCCGGAAAGAAAUCCUUGGCUCUAAUACAGUCGGGGGAUGACGGUACCGGAAGAAUAAGCACCGGCUAACUACGUGCCAGCAGCCGCGGUAAUACGUAGGGUGCAAGCGUUAAUCGGAAUUACUGGGCGUAAAGCGUGCGCAGGCGGUUUGCUAAGACCGAUGUGAAAUCCCCGGGCUCAACCUGGGAACUGCAUUGGUGACUGGCAGGCUAGAGUAUGGCAGAGGGGGGUAGAAUUCCACGUGUAGCAGUGAAAUGCGUAGAGAUGUGGAGGAAUACCGAUGGCGAAGGCAGCCCCCUGGGCCAAUACUGACGCUCAUGCACGAAAGCGUGGGGGAGCAAACAGGAUUAGAUACCCUGGUAGUCCACGCCCUAAACGAUGUCAGCUAGUUGUUGGGGAUUCAUUUCCUUAGUAACGUAGCUAACGCGUGAAGUUGACCGCCUGGGGAGUACGGUCGCAAGAUUAAAACUUAAAUGAAUUGACGGGGUCAUAGCUGUUUCCU